GAAUGAUCUCGUAAUCACGAAACUUUUAAGUACCGAAGUGUGGUAUCGUCUUCACUUGCCUUAUCUGUCUCAUAGGUAGAUGUGGCAUCUUCUUUGGAAGUACUCUUCCUCCCUCCAAGGGUGGUAUCUUUAACUGGUGGAGAUGCACAAGGUAAUGUAUCAAUUUCACUUGACGCUUACUUGUAGUUUUAGGCUUGGUCAAGCGCGAUACAAACCAUGUAGUAGGAGUCUCCCAAGUCGCCGAGUUAGGGGAUCUGUU
rnacentral:lncRNA from 1 species